GUAAAUCUAGUUUAUUAAAAAUAUUAAUUUGUCAAAUUAAAGAAAUUAUUAAUGAUUUUCU
rnacentral:tRNA from 1 species